rnacentral:tRNA from 1 species
GGGCUCGUAGCUCAUCAGGGAGAGCGUCUGUCUUGCACACAGAAGGUGGCCGGUUCGAGUCCGGCCGGGUCCACGA